rnacentral:rRNA from 1 species
UACGGAGGGGCAAGUGUUACUCAUCAUGACUAGGCGUAAAGGGUGCUAAGAUGGUUUGGGGUUGUCUUGACAAAAUAUUAAUUGAACUAUUGAUGUCUGUCAUUUAAACAAUUUAACUAGGGUCGACUGGAGAAUAGAAUUACUAAUUUUUAAGGGGUAGAAUCCAACGAGAAGAUUAGGAGGAGCAAAGGCGAAAGCAACUAUUUAUGGUUUACUGACAUUGAUACACUAAAAGCGUGGGGAGCAAACAUGG